AGCUGGACAUGUGUGCCUCAAGAGAGACAAGAGAAAUACUUCCUCGAGUUUGCUGUUAAGUGUUCUUUCAGCCCUUCUUUUAUAUAGUUGAUUACACUUCUUUUUUUUUACUGACAUUACCUUUUCUAUUUGUAGAAAACACACCAUUGGGAUCCUUUGAUCACAGGGACUGUUCAGUUUUACUUCAACGAGAUCUGUUUAAAGCGAAUGAAAGACAUGGUUAGCACUGUAAGAACUAGUCGAAAGAAACCUAAAUGGAUC
rnacentral:sRNA from 1 species